rnacentral:rRNA from 1 species
UGGGGAAUAUUGCACAAUGGGGGAAACCCUGAUGCAGCGACGCCGCGUGGAGGAAGAAGGUCUUCGGAUUGUAAACUCCUGUUGUUGAGGAAGAUAAUGACGGUACUCAACAAGGAAGUGACGGCUAACUACGUGCCAGCAGCCGCGGUAAAACGUAGGUCACAAGCGUUGUCCGGAAUUACUGGGUGUAAAGGGAGCGCAGGCGGGAGGACAAGUUGGAAGUGAAAUCCAUGGGCUCAACCCAUGAACUGCUUUCAAAACUGUUUUUCUUGAGUAGUGCAGAGGUAGGCGGAAUUCCUAGUGUAGCGGUGAAAUGCGUAGAUAUUAGGAGGAACACCAGUGGCGAAGGCGGCUUUCUGGACUGACACUGACGCUGAGGCUCGAAAGCGUGGGGAGCAAACAGGAUUAGAUACCCUGGUAGUCCACGCUGUAAACGAUGAAUACUAGGUGUGCGGGGACUGACCCCCUGCGUGCCGCAGCUAACGCAAUAAGUAUUCCACCUGGGGAGUACGAUCGCAAGGUUGAAACUCAAAGGAAUUGACGGGGGCCCGCACAAGCGGUGGAUUAUGUGGUUUAAUUCGAAGCAACGCGAAGAACCUUACCAGGUCUUGACAUCCCGAUGACCGGUUCAGAGAUGAGCCUUUUCUUCGGAACAUCGGUGACAGGUGGUGCAUGGUUGUCGUCAGCUCGUGUCGUGAGAUGUUGGGUUAAGUCCCGCAACGAGCGCAACCCUUACGGUUAGUUGAUACGCAAGAUCACUCUAGCCGGACUGCCGUUGACAAAACGGAGGAAGGUGGGGACGACGUCAAAUCAUCAUGCCCCUUAUGACCUGGGCUACACACGUACUACAAUGGCAGUCAUACAGAGGGAAGCAAAACCGCGAGGUGGAGCAAAUCCCUAAAAGCUGUCCCAGUUCAGAUUGCAGGCUGCAACCCGCCUGCAUGAAGUCGGAAUUGCUAGUAAUCGCGGAUCAGCAUGCCGCGGUGAAUACGUUCCC